rnacentral:misc_RNA from 1 species
GAUGAAGAACGCAGCGAAAUGCGAUACGUAAUGUGAAUUACAGAAUUCAGUGAAUCAUCGAGUCUUUGAACGCACAUUGCGCCCCCUGGUAUUCCGGGGGGCAUGCCUGUCCGAGCGUCAUUGCUGCCCUCAAGCACGGCUUGUGUGUUGGGCCUCCGUCCUCCUCCCGGGGGACGGGCCCGAAAGGCAGCGGCGGCACCGCGUCCGGUCCUCGAGCGUAUGGGGCUUCGUCACCCGCUCUUGUAGGCCCGGCCGGCGCUUGCCGACACAUCAAUCUUUUUUCCAGGUUGACCUCGGAUCAGGUAGGGAUACCCGCUGAACUUAAGCAUAUCAUAAGCGGAGGA